rnacentral:rRNA from 1 species
GGCGUCUUAGCAUGCAGUCGAGCGGCAAGGGGGAGCAAUCCCCCCUAGAGCGGCGGACUGGUGAGUAACGCGUGGGUGACCUGCCUUGAGGUUGGGGAUAGCCGCUAGAAAUAGCGGGUAAUACCGGAUAUGGUUACGGGGUUAUGACCCGGUAAAGAAAGGGGCUUUGGCUCCGCCUGAAGAUGGGCCCGCGUUUCAUUAGCUAGUUGGUGGGGUAACGGCUCACCAAGGCGAUGAUGGAUAGCCGGCCUGAGAGGGUGAACGGCCACAUUGGGACUGAGAUACGGCCCAAACUCCUACGGGAGGCAGCAGCUAAGAAUAUUCCGCAAUGGGGGAAACCCUGACGGAGCGACGCCGCGUGGAUGACGAAGGCCGGAAGGUUGUAAAAUCCUUUUGCCGGGGAAGAAUAAGCGGGGGAGGGAAUGCCCCUGUGAUGACGCUACCCGGUGAAUAAGCCCCGGCUAAUUACGUGCCAGCAGCCGCGGUAACACGUAAGGGGCGAGCGUUGUUCGGAAUUAUUGGGCGUAAAGGGCGCGUAGGCGGUUUUGUAAGUCUGGCGUGAAAAGGCGGAGCUUAACUCCGUCCGUGCGUUGGAAACUGUGAGACUGGAGUCAUGGAGGGGUAGUUGGAAUUCCUGGUGUAGGGGUGAAAUCUGUAGAUAUCAGGAAGAACACCGGUGGCGAAGGCGAACUACUAGCCGAUGACUGACGCUGAGGCGCGAAAGUGCGGGGAGCAAACAGGAUUAGAUACCCUGGUAGUCCGCACUAUAAACGAUGCACACUAGGUGUUGGGCCGAGCGGCUCAGUGCCGGAGCGAACGUGAUAAGUGUGCCGCCUGGGGAGUAUGCCCGCAAGGGUGAAACUCAAGGAAUGACGGGGGCCCGCACAA